rnacentral:rRNA from 1 species
CCACGAUAAAUCUUACCACUUCUUGUAUAGUCAGGUUUAUAUAUUAUUUAUUUAAUAAUAUUCAUAUAUAUUAAUUUGAAUAAUAUAUUUAUUAUAUAUUGAUUACAGGUGUUGCAUGGCUGUCUUUAGUUCGUGUUGUGAAAUGUUAGGUUAAUUCCGAAAACGAACGCAAACCUUAUCUUUAAUUAUUUAUUACUUAAUUGUUUUUUUUUAUUUGUUUAAAUAAAUUUAAAAGUUAAGUUGUUUAUUAAAGAAAUGUCUAUCGAUAUUAUAGAAU